AGCGGUUGGCCUGCUGGCCUUGCAGCUUGGCGAUUGGCUGCCCAAGGCCUGGCUCUGCCAUUUCAGGGCUUUCGGUGUGAUCUCAGGGCCUGCGACUUCUCGGGCUGGCCCGCUCUGGAGCCACAUCCUUGCAGGGCGUAGUGGUACACACCGGUCGUCCCAGAACUCGGGACACUUGGGUUUGAACUCCUCCUUCCUUUGGACUGAAAUGGCUGCCACCCAACUUGCAGUGGGAAAACCUGUAAAGGCAUCCUGCAUGCCUCCCAUCUGCAGGGCUGGUACCUGGUCCGGUCUGAGGCUGCGCUGCUGCUGCUGCUGCUGCUGGACUCAGAGUCUGAGCUGCUACGGGGAAGGUUGCAGUCAUUACGGUACACCAAGAAACUCUUCUUCACAGGCUGGUUCCCACUGCUGAAGCCAUUGGUGGUUUCUCUCGCUUGCGGAUCAACUCCACCAGCAGCCGAGCUCGCUCCAGGUCAUGCCGCAGUCUCUGCCAGGAUUUGAGCUGUUCUUUGAGGGCCCAGUUUUUAUCUUCAGAAUCUCUCUAUAGAGGUAAAAGGGGCAUCAGAAGAUGGUAAGAAAGCCAGAGGAGUCCAGAAGAGGAGUGCCCAGGAAACCUAGGCCAAGGAGGAAACCCAGUAAUUUACCAAAGCACUACUACCCAUGUGUUACCAGGGGCUAGCACCUAGAAAAUUCUUGGUAUGUUUGUUGAAUUAAUGAAUACACAGGAACAAUGCCUUUCCACCAAGCUGAUAAUAAUAUAGAUUUCAUGUUGAGCCUGCACUGGGGUGGGGUGUUAAUUUAACUUAGAAAAACCCUAAGCUCUUUGAUGCUGGAGGCUACUGCUACACAUUUUAGUGUUUGCCCUUUUGGUACUAGUUUCCACAGCCCACAGGGAUUUGGACACGGUACCCCAACUUGAUCACAGUUCCUCUGAGACUGAAGGUGUGUUUGCAGGCGCCUGAGUAGUGGGACCCCAUUCCGUGAUUGUCGUUUCAGAGUCCAGUAGCUGUGCAGCCUCUGCAUGAACUGGCUCUUCCUCUGGAUGGUCAGGCGGUUGGUGAUCUUACUGAGCCUGGGAACCAGGGAACAAAAUAAAAACCUAUUAGGUCCUGACUG